GUAGGUGAACCUGCGGAGGGAUCAUUACCGAGUUUACAACUCCCAAACCCCAAUGUGAACGUUACCAAACUGUUGCCUCGGCGGGAUUUCUGCCCCGGGCGCGUCGCAGCCCCGGACCAAGGCGCCCGCCGGAGGACCAAUUUACAAACUCUUUUGUAUAUCCCAUCGCGGAUUCUUUACAUUCUGAGCUUUCUCGGCGCUCCUAGCGAGCGUUUCGAAAAUGAAUCAAAACUUUCAACAACGGAUCUCUUGGUUCUGGCAUCGAUGAAGAACGCAGCGAAAUGCGAUAAGUAAUGUGAAUUGCAGAAUUCAGUGAAUCAUCGAAUCUUUGAACGCACAUUGCGCCCGCCAGUAUUCUGGCGGGCAUGCCUGUCCGAGCGUCAUUUCAACCCUCGAACCCCUCCGGGGGGUCGGCGUUGGGGAUCGGCACUUACCUGCCGGCCCCGAAAUACAGUGGCGGUCUCGCCGCAGCCUCUCCUGCGCAGUAGUUUGCACACUCGCACCGGGAGCGCGGCGCGUCCACGGCCGUAAAACAACCCAAACUUCUGAAAUGUUGACCUCGGAUCAGGUAGGAAUACCCGCUGAACUUAAGCAUAUCAAUAAGCGGAGGA
rnacentral:rRNA from 1 species